GAAGACCAGUAAGAUACACAAAGAGAACAGGGACAGUUGACUAAAUAUUUCAUAUUUCCUAUUUGCUCCUUGAGGCCAUCUGACUACAAAACACAUUAUUUCAUAUAUUGGAAAAAUAUAAAAUAAAAUAAUGAAUGGAUUAGCAUCCUCUAGGCAGUUUUCAACUUUUCUUUGAUAUAAAAUGAGUUAUGAUCUGUCUUGAAGAUACUAGCUUUAAUUUUAAAAGGCAAAAACUUUUCUUAUAUUCAUGAGUGUAGAGUUCUACAUGAAAUCUUCUAACUAUUACAGAUGUUGAAACUCAGGCAAAUGAUAAAAAUCCCUGGUCAUUCCAGUUAGAAUACAUAUGGGAGGCACAAAGUGCUGUAUCAGUGAAUCAAAGAUACACUUUUAAAAAAUAUGCUAAAAAUUAAACUAAUUAUAAGCCUGAAUACGUAUUGACCUGAAGUAGUUUUCACUGAGGGAAGAUAAUCCAAAAAUAAAGUUUUUUUUUUUGAUGGUAAAAUAUAUUUUUAUAUACUCUUUCCAUUUUGGGGGUAUAUGCAAAAAAUUAAGAAAAUAAUCAGAAUAAUAAAAAUGAUAAUAUUGUUGCUAUUAUUACAAGGAGAUAUUUUGUAAUAAGUGUUUAUUUUAAUGUGUUGUCAAAAAGGACUGUUAUAUUUUAACUAACUGCCACUAAGCUUAAAUUGAAAUGGUGGACUCAUAAACCAUUCUUCUUCUAUAGGUCUUAAUAUUUUAUCAUCCAUAUGCAUAUCCUUCAAGAAGCAAGCAAGUAAGGUAGCAUGAAUAUAUUAUAGCAGAGAAAUUGAGGCCCUGAAAGGUAAUGCACUUGUUCAGCCAUACACAGUGGUUGCUUAGCUAAGGCUGAAAUUCACAUUGCUUGAUUUCAGAUUUAUUCAUUGCUUUAGUGCUUUACACUUGGACUCUGGAGUUUGUUGUGGGACACAGGAAAAGCAACAAUCCCUGCACAUAGGUUAACAAUGUCAUCAUACCAAUACAAAAGAUAUUUAUUAUGCAUCAAACAAUUUAUAUAAAAAUUUUUACUUAUCUAGGGAAAUACAAAUAUAUAUUUUAAAAAAGAAUAUACCAACUGGCCUCAGUAGAGAUGUCUUCACUUGCAAAGUGACCCUCACCCAAUUUCAACCUAAGAAGCUGAAAUAUUUUAGAAAAUUACAAGUUAAAAUGAUUUGCAUCACUUUCCAUCUUUAAGAAUGAAAGUGAAUUAAUAAAUGUCGUGGAUAGGCAUUCAUCCUAAGGAACUGGUCAGAAUUACUGACACUGAAGACAGGAAGUGAAGACUUCUUGGAGAUAGUGGUGGGCUUCCAUGCCUCUAAAAUAGACUUCGAUGAAUUGAUCUUGUUUCAACAAUAGUUGAUGCUUUCAGCAGUUCCUUUUAUCUGCUCACUCAAAUCAAUCUAAAUUUCCAAGUUCAGAAGGAACAUUUUUAUUGGCUGGCUUUCCUAAGUGUUGACUAGAUGAACAAAUAAAAAGGCAAUCCUCACGUUUCUUCUCAACAACUUCCAAUAAUGUCAAAAUAGACUUUGGAAGGUCUAAAUAACUUGAUACGUCUUCAGAGUCCUUUGACAUUUUAUAUUUGUAUGUGUUGUUCAGGAUGUUAGGAGUUAUUUCAUUCCUUCCAGUACCCAAAUUUCUCUUAUCAAACAGUUACAGAUUUUUAAAAUUCUACUCUACGUAAAUGUCGUAGUCAGGAAGCGAUUCAUAUAGAACAGAACACCCUCUGACUUAAUUUACUUUUCCCAUUUCCUUAUUUUGAAAAUUGGUGGUAAAUCUCCAUAUAAAAAGAAUCUGGAGUUUUCAGCAUUUUCUAGAAGAUCAGAAUUGAAACGACAGGUAGUGGAGGCAUGGGAAAAACUGUCAUCAUUGAAAUUCCAUUCUAAUUAUUUAAAAUAAUAGAUAAUUGAGACUAUCCUUAGGUAUAAGAGGGAAUGAGAGAAGUCAUACAUAUAAACAUGUAUCUGUAGUUUGCUGCUAACACCUACAGUCCAACACACAUGGACACCUUUACCACUUUUAGCAACGUGAAUGAUUUCAUAAGCUUUGAGAUGAGACUGACACUUCAAAAAUCACCCUAACCUCUAAUUAUGGUUGUAAUGAAGCACCAGUUUAACACUGUUUGGUUUUAUUCUUCAUUAACGAUUCAGAUUCAAAAUAACAGUUUUUCUAGUCUGGAAAACAGGCAAGUGCCAUUUUUCAGUACUAAAAAUUUCUGAAAGAGUUAAAAAAAUCAUAAAGAAUGACAAAGGCACUUUCAAAAAAAAUAAUGUUGCUAUCACAGUAGAACAGUAUUUCAGAGAAAUAGUGCGCAUUUGAUGACUGUCAGAAUUUACAUAACUUACUCGGCAUGAAUUAACUAUGAGGCAUAAAAUUCAACUUUGGCUUAAACACACACGCAGUAAUUGUCAUGUGACAUUUUGAGGCAUUGUAUGACAUCAAGGUAUUGCCUAAAUCACCAAUACAAAUAUGUCGAAAAUGACUGUGACAUGUGACCUUAGUGUCCCAAUAGGUUAGAGAGGAAAAAUGUGAUGGUGUCAGUAAAAGAGCUAGAACAAAAAUGGGUUCAUAUCUGACAGUUUAAGACUUUCUAGUUGAAAUGGAUACUUGUCAAUUGAGUGUCCAUGAUCACCACUCUGAUAUAUUGGGGUAACAAACUAGGCUCACACAAAAUAACUCACAGAUACCAGAGUCUCUCAAAAUUAUGAACUAUGAAGCAAAUCAAAUUCUAAUAUUUAACAUCUGUCCUAGGAUUCUUACCAUUUAUCUUCUGAUCAAAAUUGCAAAUGGUGCCAAAAAAAAAAAAUCAUGAAGUCAAAAGGACUUGGUGGGGGUAUCUUUGUUUCUCUCCCAAAGCCUAAAAGUUAUACUCAACUGCAGCACAAAGAGUAAAGAGGUUGUUAUUCAUAUUAACUACAUUUACAUUCCUAACGCAACAUCCAGAGAGCUAAUAGUGGGGUUAUUAACAUAACAAACGUAAAUGUUCUAUAUAAAUAAUACUGUUUCAGGCCAGCAACCGCUCAUCUGACAGCAUUUAGGCACAGGCUCAACAUCUGUUUAUGAACACUUUGCCUAAUGAUAUCAUCAGAUAUCAUUAAGUGCGGCAGAAUACAGCAUAGAGGCAGGUGCAGCUGCCUUCACAACCCAUCACAGAGAAAGAAAAGAGCUGCAUUCCCCAUCCGAAAACCCAUCAUUAGGACAAUUUUCUUCGACAAACCAGCCCUGUGAUUUCAAUCUGUAUAUCACCUGUAAUUGUAGUUUUUAGCAAGAAGCUGAUUCUAUACAUUUAGCGACGAAUCACGUUGAUGGCCUGAAUACUGGAAACACAUUUGUGGUACCAGCUGCGGCAGCUUUUUUUAGAGCCUGUGUUAACAAAAUACUGCUAACAAGGCAAUGCUGGGAGUGCAGCUUUGUUUCUCUUUCUUGUUCAUAGUGUUUAGAUGUGCAUAAUUAUGGAAAUUAGCAAUUGAUUGCUUCUCAAUAAUAAUUGAUUACUGGUCACUGAACUCUUCUGUAGCACUUUACCGAAGGUGAGGACAUGAGAUAAGUGAAUUCUUACUAGUUCCAACCAUAUAGAAAUAAAGAGACCAAAAAGAACUCUCGAUUUGUACAUCAGUUUCCAUGAUAAACAGACCAAAGGGAUAAUAGAAUAUCCCAGAAUCUAGUUUGCCCUGAAGCAAAUUGUAGAGAUCAUAGCAAGCCUGCAGAAGUCUCCCUGUGGACCAUGUAAGAAACAUACAUCAUUUUUAUAUAUGUCAGUUGGUCUUUGAUUUGAAAAUAUUUCUACCCAUUUAAUUUAUCUCUUUCAGUCAGUUUUCUUAAAUUGUACAAUUUAAGGGUUAUAUCAAAAAAAAUGAAUACCAAUUUUCAACACCUCUCAAAUUGAAACAAACUGACAAAAUAAUGUGAAGUCUCUUUUUGCAAAGAGGUACAAAUUCAGAAGCCUAUCGUCUCAGACAGAUAGCGAGCACUUCAAAAUGAUUCUCCUCUUUUUGAUCUGCUGUAUAUCCAUCAACAUUUUGGUCUGUGCCGACUGACUUGUUUCAGUAUAGCAUAAUGUAGGGAAUGUUACUUGAUGCGGCAGCUAACAUUUAAAGGAAAAUGCACUUAUUUUUGGCUUAAUCACUACUGUCAAUUUGGACAUAACAUAUCCAAUUCAAAUUUACUGCAGUACAUGGAAGCCUCUCAGACAAUAAAGUAUCCGUGGUGUUUGUUAAAUGGGAAACACCGUGACUCAUGGUGUUUCAAAGAUGGAAAGAGCAGUAGGGAAAAAAAAAUUAACUCUUUAUUUUGGAAGAAUAAUGAGUUUCCAAGUGUUUAACGUAAUGGUCUCCCUGGUGUGUUUGCGAGUGUGUGAGUGUGUGUGUAUGUGUGUGCUAAUUUGUACAGGACAUGACUGUAUUGUGGUAGUCAACUUUACAACCUGAUUCAUAAAAAAUGCAGCUCGGUUAAAGUUAGUAUGCUCAAUUUCAAUAGUGUUUUUAUCCCUAAAUGAGUAGCAGAUUGUACAAUCAUGACUCAAAAAAAUAUGCACAAGUUAUAAGAAUUAGGCAACAGUUUGAGAAUAAAACUGAAUCCCUCCUCUCUGCCCACAGAAGGAUUUCUCACAUAAUGAACAGGUGCAAUUUCCAGAGAUCUCUGUUCACUGAGAUGGCAAAAGCCACUGUUUGUUGCUUUCCCCAGCAGCAACACAAGAUAAUAUGGUGACAAAACUGCAAGCAGAAACUGAAAAGCCACAUCACAUAUAUGUACAAUUCUAUUCUCUUAGUAUAUCUUGAAAACACAAAUUCAUAUUCCUAGCAUUCUAGUUCUUUCUUAAAUUAACAUUUAUGCACUGAAUAAUAUAAUUACAAAUUUUUGCACUACUUUGUACCCAAAACCUGCAAAGAAAUAAAAUAAAAGGAAUUUAGGCAAUGUGUGUGAGUCCAUGUGCUUACGCCAUUAUGUUAGUGCCAAAAGCGUUAAAAAAAAUACAGACAGAUUCCCUGUAAUAUAUCUCUGAGUUUAUUAUCAGCAUGACAUUUUAAUGUGUGUUAUUAAAAUUAUAUUUUAGGGGUUGGGGUGGGGUUCAGGUGGAAGAGUACUUUGGAAUAUUGCAAGAAGUUGCACAUAAAAAUGAUUUUGGUAACCUAGUGAUGUCCUUGACACACUUUGGCACUACAGAGUGUAUCUGCUUAAAGAGACAUAUGGCUGGAAUGGCAGAAGUCAGAAUUUGAAGGGUAUUAGUAAAACCAUGUGGGGGAAGCUUGAACUGAUACUGGCUUAGGUUUUGUAGCUCUUCUCUGAUUUCACAUGUUCCAAACCUGUAAAAUAAUUUUAACUACUGAAACCAUAAUUCCCUUUUUUUAAGAUAGUUUUAAAUCACAUUACUAGGAAAUGAGAUUGAAAAUAAAUCCACUUGCUAAUAAUGAUGCGGGUGACUGUAAAAUGUUAACAGUAUGAAGUUUAAAAACGUGGUAAAUGAUCAACGCAAACCUUUGAACUGUUAGUGUGAUUUGUUGCUAUUAUUGUUGAAUCACACCUUAUUGAAGUAAGAGAAAAUCAGAGAUCAACUUCAAGUCUUUUCUUCUCUGCAACGAUUUUCUGACCACGUAAGAGCCCUGCAGAGCAGCCCUGCAGCCUUCCUCAUUAGUUCUACUUUCAGCAAAGCCCUUUUGACUAUGUGAUAUUCCUUGCAGUUUACUUGUUUAUUUGUUUAUUGCCCUUCUCCUCUUUUUACUGAAGUGCAAGUGCUGUCACAGAAGGGAUCUUGCUGGUCAUCGCUCCUCUCUGCCUGACAUCUAUGAGGCACCCAGUAAAAAAUGUGCAAAAUGAAUAAAUGUGAUACAAUGUCCUUUUCAAGCCAUGGGCUGCAUAAUAUUCUCAACUUUUCCAUGGGAUGGUCAGAAUUUACUAACAUAGUAUAAAUUUGUAAAUAAUUUAUGCCAAAGUUUACACAAAAUAUCAUUUCAUUAAUGAAAAAUGAAAUUUUUUUCACAUGGUACCAAAGCUGAUUUAUAUAAUCUGAGCAGGGAAAAAUUUUAUUUAAUUAAAGAAAAUUAGCUCAGUACUUCCUUAAUACACACUCUACUAUACUGCUACCUAAACUUUGCCUUGAGAAAAUAAUUUUAUAACUGAAGACUUAGGUCAAAAGCAUUUUUUUUAAUUAAGCCAAUUCAUACAUCUUAAAAAACUUGUUGAUAUUUACAUACAAAUAGCAGUUUAGAGAGGAUCUAUAGUUAAUUUCUGUUCUUGAUAAAUGCGUUAUAUUAGGCUUUGAAAAAAAGAUUACCAAAUUGCCUAUACUACUUUUAUACUCAGGGUUAAGGAUGCUAACCACAUUCAAACAACCAUCUGAGAAAAUUAUUUUUCAUUUAAGACCUAAUUCCCAACGUAUUGGAGUAGGUGAGAGAAUAAGAGGUGUGUUAUUGAAAGGGAAUUUGGAACAAGUAAUCAUUCUGAAUGUGUGUACAUCAGAGACUCCUCAAAGCCUGCCUGGCAAUCUGUUUUUUAUGUAAGUUUGUUUUUAUCUGUGGUGGGGAGUGCUGAUAUUUAAAUUUGCAUUAACUACUUUCCAUAAUGAAUAAGAAGUGCAUAGCUAAACUCGAUUUGCAGCAAAUCAAUUUUGGCAGACAGCAAAAAGUCAAAAAUUGUUUUUGUUUUUAAAGUAGAAAGCUUCUGUUUAAGACAGUUAAAGAUUUUCGGAGAAAGUAGAUUAUUAAUGAGUAAGCUAGAUUAGCGUAAUGAUAGGAAUAGUUGCAGAAAUAGUAAGAAGCUUAGAGAAAGUUCCCCAAUUUUAAUGCCCUGAAAAAUUGGGUGCAAUCUUGUCUUCCUCACUAGAGCUGCUCCAUCACUCAGAGUUAUUUAUUUUCUCAAUCUGUCAAUAUUUGUAGUAAAGCUUGAAGAAUCACCAAAUUGUAAGGUCUAAAGUAACGUUGAGAAAUCAUUCAUUUACUCAAGAAAUAUCGAGUUUCUAUCCAUCCUCCACACUGCCAACACAGUGAUCUUUCAAGGGCAAAUCUGAUCUUUCCACUGCCUUGCAGAAAAUUCUUCAAAGAUUACUCAUUGCUGCAAGGCUGAAAUUUAAACUUCUAACCAAGAUAUAAAAGACUCUUAGUCCAAUCUCUACCUGUUUUCUGAUCCUCUUUCAGUAAUCUUCUUCUCUGACCCUUUCUGACCAUCCCACCCCCUGCCAAAUUCCCUUAACACCUGUUGCCUUUAUUCUCUAUCCUAGAACUGCCUGCCAUUUUUCAGCAUACAUCCUCAUGUUCUGUAGAUACUCUUCUCUCUUCCUGAAAUAGCCUCUCUCCAUGCUGCCUUUUCCCUAUGGUGAGCUUCUACUUACCCAUGAAAACUCAGAUUAAAUAUGGUUUUCCUGUAAAAACUUCAAUGAGCAUGGGCGCUGCCAUUUGUGUUACCACAUCACUGUAAAAGUUCACCCUACUACUAAUCAUACCGUCUUCAUUCACUCUGUAAAUACUUAUUAAGCUUGCAUUAGGUUGUAGGUACUGAGAACACACCACUGAACAAAAAUAGAUAAAAUGUUCUAAUCUCAUUAAUUUUACCCUCAAGUUGCAAAACAAUACAAAAAAAUACAACUAAUUUACACACACACACACACACACACACACACACACACGGUUAGGUAGUGUUAAGUUCUAAAAAAAUAAGAUUAAAACAAGGAAGGAAAGUGUGUGGUAUUAGAAGAGGUGAUUAAUAUUGUCGAUAUUAUGGUUAGGGAACAGUCCAUAAGAAGAGAGAUUUUAAGAAAAUAUAUCCAGUUAUCAUAUAUUCACAGUGGGUCUUAUAUGCAUGAUAGGACUCAUGCUACUGAAGGUGUUAUACUAUUUUGCCUCAUCCAGAACGCAGCAUAAUUUCUGACACAUAGGAAAUAAGUAAAUAGAUGGAGUCUGGGACUUACCAAGAAAUAAUUCUAUGCAAACCUAAAGGUUGUCAGAGUGACAGGUGGAAUGUUAUAAUUUAUUUUAGCCUUUUGGAACUUCAGUGCUAGACAUAAGACCCUAUAAAGCUUAUAGCCUUUAAAAUGCAAUUACUUAUAUAAUAACACUGAAGAAUCAUCAUGUGUCUAGAUGACUACUCUGUAAGUAGUCAAAUUACUCUAUUGCCAUACAGGCGAGAACAAUCAUGGCAUAUUCACAUUAAAAUCCCUUUAUUAAGGCUAUAUUAAUAGCAUAAAAAGUAAAUCAUCCUUCCUAUUCGAGGCGCUUCUUUUUCUUAUGAAAGAUUAGACUGCUGGUCGAGUAUUUUUUCCUUCCAAAGACUGUCCUGUCCUGCCUCUCUAGACAUAUAAACUUCUUUCAUGAGUGUUAUUUUUUCUUUUUGACAAAACAUUAGCAAUGCCCACGUUCCCAUGAAAAGCCCAGAAAGUAUCUGUUGAUACUUAGGAUAUAGCUUUCAACUUUUAUGAAUCUCCAAAUCAUCGUAAUUGUCUGUCAUGUCAUUAUGUACAAUGGGUAAAAUUCUGCUCUUCAAUAGCUUGCAAUAAGUCUUCUGGUAUUUGAAAACAUAAAUAUGGAGUUGUCUCCAAUUCUACCAUUAACGCAUGGGCAUUGUGAAGAAUUUUGGGUAAGUCAAACAUAAAAUAGGGGUUUAUAUUUAUUUUUAAUGAUUAAAAUGACUUCAAGUUUGAAACAAUGUAACUUUUUAUAUCAACCUACUGAAAACAACAUAUAUUUUGAAAUAUUUAAGCAGCAGAAUUGCUGAGAGUGAAGAACAUCAGUAUGUUGUGAAGUUCUAAAUUUUACAUAAUUUUAAUAAUGGUUCUGUUACUCUGGUUAGGGCAAUGUGGGUCUACUGAGUUUAUUAAAUAAACAGAGAGGGAAACAGAUAUGUAAUGUCUUUGGUUGGAAAUCACUGGGAGACAUUCUAUAUGUUGUAAUUCAGCAUUAAUGCAGAGUAAGCAAGAAAUUUUAGGAACUUACAUGAGUAGGGGGAAAACAAGGGUUUGGUGAGAUGAAAUUUGGUGUAGAAUUCCUUGUUCUUUUGUUUUCAAAUACACAUGUGACUUUAGACUAAGCAUAACCAAAACCAGAAAGGAAAGAAGACGACAUGGGGAAUCUGAAGCUGCGACAAACAGAUUAUAUAUUAUUUUCAAAUAGUUUCCAGAAAAUGUAUUAGGAGUGGGUUUAAAGGCGUUACUCAUCCAGAGGAAACCUCACAUAUUGCUAGAAACUUCAGAUGAAUCUGUUAACUUCCCCUAUAAAAUUGUUAUAUCAAUGAAAUAUUUCCUGAUAUUUUUACAAUGGCAGUGAAUAAUGUGAAAGAUCUCAAUUCAAAUAUGACUAUGCCUUGAAGAGCGAUUUGAUGAUAGGCUAUGGUUCAGGGGCUACUCUAAGAUAAUGAAAAUGAAUGAAAAAGGGGAUGUAGUUCAUCCUUUCAAUGAACUUCCAAAAGACAGGAUGCUGGAGAGGUAAAUAAAUACCAUAUUUAAUGGAUGAUGUGACAGGACCACAAAAGCCAGACCCGCAGGCUUCUAUGUGUUCACAGAGAAGAGAGGGGGGGACUUCUCUGCCAUUUUUAGAAAACACAUCAUGCAUGAACAAAAUUAAGUCAAAUGAAAGAAUAAACACUCCCAAAAGUGUAAAAACAAAAGGCUGUUUUACCUUGGUCAGUUGACAGUGAACAUUUCAGUAUUCUGAUUUAUUAUAAUAGCUUCUAUUUUUUCCAAGUAUAGUUUUCCGCUUAGCAUUUUUAAAUUUAGCAUUGCCAAGUCAAAGAUCAGAAAAACAGAAAAAGAAAAUACUUUUUCAGUAAGUGUGCUUCCCCAUUGUACACCCCAACUCGUUUCAUUAGUGUUAGGGUUUCAUCAUAUGAACAGAAGAAUGAAUCUUGCCACCAAAGUUGCCUUCUUUCAGAAAAGUGAGCCUAUUGGUGAGCUUUGUUAUGAGAAUCAACAUUCCAGCAAUAUCUGCUCUUAAUGCCACCCUGAGUUUUCCAAUUUAGAAGUUGCCAGAUUUCUGGUUUAUGAUCAACUUGAAGAAGGUGCUUGCAUGCUGCUUGCCCAUAAAAAGUAAUUACUUUCUUUUAAAAUUUAAAAAAAGAGAAAAAAAAUCUACCACUAAAAAUGUAGUGUAAAAUCAGCUAUAAUAGGCAACAAAUUAAAAUUAUAUUACUAAGUCAGAGAAAACCUUCGAAAUCUUUCCUGAACUCUGUCCCAGCAUCUUGUACAGUGUGGCACAUGUUAAGAUUAUCCCAUUCAUUCCUUCAAAAUUUCUCAACACUAUCACAUAAAAGUCAGCACCCACAGACUCUUUUUCUCUUUCAGUCUCUUUCCUCUGGUUUAUUAUUGGUCACUCUCACCUUGAAAAGUUUCCAACCUGUCUCGGUUCUCUUUGGUUCUGCAACUUAAACCAUUAUUCCAAUAAGUAAAACAAAAGUA